AGCACUGUGUGGUAUCUGCAGCCAGCUGCUUCGUUAGCUGGUUUGUUCAAAAGUCAGUGCAAGAUGAACUCAACAAAUGGCAUCGUUGGUCUCCCGACUGCUUGUGUUUGGAGUCCUGGUAAACAUGUUGGUACACAC
ensembl:snoRNA Small nucleolar RNA SNORA8